AAUGUUAUUGCUCUCUAUUUUAUACAUUACCAGUUCGUGAACAUUAGGUACAUGAUUUCCAUCAGUUUUACUUGUUUCCUAACUUCGAAUAAUAAGUGAAUAGUAAGCUAUUUGUACUAAUAACUAUAUUUUUACGUCCACUAGGAUCAGUCUACUUUAGAUCCGUCUUUUUAAUUUCAAUUAUAUGUAAUGAUACAACGUCUGUUUUUACCAGCGGGCCUAGCAUGACCGCCAUAGAAACAGCUUUUGUCUACCGAAGAAUCGACAAAAUGACAGAUUGAAGAAAGAUUUCUAUCGAUCCGAGCAUGGCGAUGUUUGACAUCGAGAAAAGAAAUGUUUCUUUUCUUCGUCGACAUGUGUCUAUCGCGUCGAGCAUGACGACUAUAUUUUCUCUACUUUUGACAUUUGGGAGUAGAUAUAACUUUCUAUAUGAAAUGUCAAAUACUCUACAUCUCAUCGGACCUAGACAAGAGUAGACAAGAAUAUUAUUAUAAUUUUAAGAUCUCAAAAAGCAUUUACAAAGUAUGUCGGGGUCCUACCGUCGUCAUGUGGUCAGUUUUUAUGCUGAGAAGAAUCAGUGUAAAGCUCAAAGAACGAGCUAUACGAGUGUUAAGCCUCUCGACAUUGAAAACGUAAAUGUGCAGAGAUGGUGCAGUAUUUGUGCGGAAUCUGUCUCCUAGGAUAUCUUAGGGUCUGCCUGUUCAUAUCAAUGUUCUUUGUUCGGGUCCUGCUUAGGUCAUUAACAACAUUACUAACCACUGUUAGCAAAUUUUUUAAGCAAUUUGUUUUUGCAGUGAAUACAAGGGUGCCUAUGCUACAACUCUUCCCGAAGAAAGGCAGAGAGAGAGACACUAAUGACCUUAGCGGUAGCUUACUACAAGCUGCAACUCACAGAAGAGCAACUAUUAUGAAUAUCUUUGUAUAUCAACAGUUCUUGAAACCAUACAGACAGAAUUGAGUUGCUGGGGAGUUUGUUCCACCGCUUCUGCUGCUGAUUUUCAGCCUAUUUUGAAUAAAUGACUUUAUCUGUAGCCUUAAUUUUAUGUAAAUAAACCUUUACCUCUGUGUAAAUGAUUGUCUCAUUUUAUUUUUUAUCUUAAGAGUUGUUGCUUAUAUCACACAAGCAACAAAUAGGUACUAUAAUUAUUAUUGCCAUAAUUAUACUUUAAAAACAAAGCAUGAGAGUUUUGCUAGAAUGAAA